UGGGAAAUCAGCAAAGGUCCCCUCUUGGAAAAUAUCAUCAGGUUCAGGGAUGUAUAAAGAAGAAAGUAACACUUCGUAAGUUUCAUCGUUUAGCUAACCCCCUGUGUAAAGUAGUAAAGUAACCAUGUGUCUGCUUAGAAAAUUGAACAGCACAGAAAGCUGCACCAUAAGUCUUCCCUGUUCCUUCCCAGCUGCCCCAUUAGGAGUUCCUAGUGUAGACGUUGUACAUAGUAGCAUGCGUGUGAGACACAGAUAUCUUUUUUUUUUAAGUUCCGGGAUACAUGUGUAGGAUGUGCAGGUUUGUUACAUAGGUAAACGUGUUCCAUGGUGAUUUGCUGCACCUACCAACCCAUCACCUAAGUAUUAAGCCCAGCAUGCAUUAGCUAUUUUACCUGAUGUUCUCCCUCCCACUGCCCCUGCCCUGACAGGCCCCAGUAUGUGUUGUUCCCCUCCCUGUGUCCAUAUGUUCUCAUUGUUCAGCUCCCACUUACGAGUGAGAACAUGCAGUGCUAGGUUUUCUGUUCCUGCGUUCGUUUGCUGAGGAUAAUGUUUUCCAG
rnacentral:lncRNA from 1 species